CUACUGGGAGUAAAAGAUAAAUGUUAUUCUAUCCGUUCUUAAUGUGUUUUAGAUAAUUUUAGUUGUAUUUCUUUGUAAUUUUGUGUUGUACAAAGAUUGAUUUAACAUUUUCUCUGGAAGUAUUAAUUUAGAAAGAUAAUAUGCUUCAUUGGUGUUGUGUUUUGAAGUGUGAAAUGCAAAGUAAUCCUGAUAAAGUCAAGAUAAAGUUCACCUUUAAACUGAACUAAAUACGGUAUCAGCUGAGAGACAACAAUGGUUAAAUGCAAUACAAUGUAAGGUUUUACUAGCGAAAUGAAAAUUCUCCUGUCCUGUCUGCUGUAAUCAUUUUAUAUCUGGUAAGUUACAAUUACAACAGUAACGAUUUUUGAAGAUGUUAACAUUUUAAUCUUAUAGGAAAACCAGCCGACUUAAUCGAUAAUAACAAUCUCCAGAUUGGGUUCCUUCAAUAAAUAUGGGCUAUUAACACAAUGAAAUAAGUUCCAGAAAAUCUAAAAUGGAGUGGUAUCAAAGGAGAAUUAAAG
rnacentral:lncRNA from 1 species